UACGGCCACAACAGGUUGAAACAUUGGUUCCAAUACGAUCACUGAAGUUAAGCAACAUCGAACCUGGUCAGUACCUAGAUGGGUGACUGCUGGCGAUUCCCAGGUGCUAUA